GCAACCAUUUUGUACUCGUGCAUUUUACAUUGUGACAAUAAAUUUUAAUAUUGAAAGUCGUGUAGGUAUGAUCUAUGUAUAGCCGUAUCAUCCUCUUAUUUUUUUUUGUUUUGCC